AUUCAGCUGACGAGUCCCAAAUUGAAGGAAACGCGUAUCCGGGAU
rnacentral:hammerhead_ribozyme from 1 species